CCGUAGCUCAGAUGGUACUGCUACUGCCUUAUGAGCGGUAAGUUGUGGGUUCGAGCCCCACAGGUG
rnacentral:tRNA from 1 species